AAAGCACAAGCUUCACUUCUGUCUUUGUCUCUCUUUAUCACUCUCUGUUCUUAUCUCUAUUUCUCACCUUGAGAAACUCUAAGAAAGAAGAAAAAAAAAUGAGUGGAGUUAACUUCAGAAGUCUCACAUUUAUGAUUUUAAUUGCAUUUUUUGUACGGUGUUCAAGUAUUGAAACAUGAAUUACAGCUGGCUAAAGUUAUCCAAGAACAGUUUGAGUAAUUCAGAAGCUCAUUUUGGUUGGAAGCUGGUUGGAGCAACUCCACACUAUCCAUCGGCUCAUUUCAGUAUAUAUAGUAAAUUAAUUUUGGUUAUAAUGACAUGUAUAGGUUAAUUUGGCCAAUGUUGGCAUAUAAAUGUUUUGUUGGAACUAGCCAUUUGAAUGACUUGUACUGGGUAUAUAUUUUGAUGUGUGUUCGUAAUGAUUGAAUGAUGGAUAAAUAUUAGGUAUAUUGAAGGUUGGUUUGAA